rnacentral:rRNA from 1 species
GACGAACGCUGGCGGCAUGCCUAACACAUGCAAGUCGAACGGAACUUGUUGAAUGAAGUUUUCGGAUGGAUUUUGACAAGUUUAGUGGCGGACGGGUGAGUAACGCGUGAGCAACCUGCCUUUCAGAGGGGGACAACAGUUGGAAACGACUGCUAAUACCGCAUAACGUAGCGAGACCGCAUGAUCUUGCUACCAAAGCUCUAUGUGCUGAAAGAUGGCCUCGCGUCUGAUUAGCUAGUUGGUGGGGUAACGGCUCACCAAGGCGACGAUCAGUAGCCGGUCUGAGAGGAUGAACGGCCACAUUGGGACUGAGAAACGGUCCAGACUCCUACGGGAGGCAGCAGUGGGGAAUAUUGGGCAAUGGGCGCAAGCCUGACCCAGCGACGCCGCGUGAGGGAAGACGGUCUUCGGAUUGUAAACCUUUGUUGAUGGGGAAGAAACAUGACGGUACCCAUCGAGGAAGCCACGGCUAACUACGUG